UACGGAGGGGGCAAGCGUUAUCCGGAUUCACUGGGUUUAAAGGGUGCGUAGGUGGGCAGGUAAGUCAGUGGUGAAAUCUCCGGGCUUAACCCGGAAACUGCCAUUGAUACUAUCUGUCUUGAAUACCCUGGAGGUGAGCGGAAUAUGUCAUGUAGCGGUGAAAUGCUUAGAUAUGACAUAGAACACCCAUUGCGAAGGCAGCUCACUACGGGAAUAUUGACACUGAGGCACGAAAGCGUGGGGAUCAAACAGG
rnacentral:rRNA from 1 species